UAGGUCCCCCAUGACUACCGCCUCUUUAGCUUUUAUGGUCUCCGAGAGUUGCUUCAGGAGCCCCGCAUCUAUUUCUUCCCCUUGGUGUGGGGGUCUGUAGCAGACCCCUACCACCAAAUCCCUUUCUCCUUGCCCCCCAUGUAGCCUAACCCACAAUCCUUCUACUUCCUCAACCUUGGAUUCUGUCUUGAUGAGGGUUGAUGUAUAUUGCUCACUGACAUAAAGUGCAACCCCCCCCCCCCCCUUUCUUCCCCGACCUUUCCUUUCUGUACAAUCUAUAGCCCUCAAUAUGUACCGCCCAGUCAUGGGAUGAAUCCUACCAGGUCUCUGUUAGCCCCACUAAGUCAUAGGUGUUUAGUGCAAGCAGGAGCGCUAGUUCAUCCUGCUUGUUCCCCAUGCUCCUAGCAUUAGUCUAUAGGCACUUGAGCCCUGCGACUGGCGCCUUUGCUGCCGCCCCGCUCCAAGUCCCAAGGGGCCCAUUGUUUCUGACCUUCUUGUUUCUUACCUGUUCUGUAGUGCUGGUCUCCCCAUGGCUUUCAGGUCUCCAGUGUUCUCCUUCUUCAGGCUGGGCUGUCCUUGUGGGUGCCACAUGGUUUGGUGGUCCACAGCUUCCCCUGCCCUCGUACUCCCCUCCCCCCGACGAGCCUAGUUUAAAGCCCGCCAACCUAGUAGAAAACACACGCUUACCUUUGGGGGACAGGUGAAGCCCUUCCCAGCUGAGCAUGUCCCUCGUCGUGAUGUGCGGGUCAUUGUCCAGGAAGCCGAAGCCUGCCUCGAGACACCACUGCCGAAGCCGCCAGUUGGUUUCUCGGAUGCAGUUCUCCUGCCGUCUUCCUCGUCCGGUCACUGGUAGGAUGGAAGAGAAAACCACCUGUGCACCGAACUCCUUCAGCACGCCACCCAGAGCACUGUAGUCUGCCAUCAGUGUCAGCGAGGAGCUGCAGCGUGAAAGAAGUGGGACUUAUAUCCAAGGCACCACGGGUAACAGGUGAAAUAUCCAAGGCACCACGGGUAACAGGGACGGCACGAUGUGCCACAGGCUGGACAGUGCCCGGGCCAGGCGGGACCGAGGAACAGACAACGUCUCUCCCCGUGCUGGAUCUGGCCUGUCGACAGUAUUUUGUGCGUGCGGAUGCACACGUUACACCCCGGAUGGCUCUGGAGAAGUAGAAGAUAAGCUGGAGCAAGUUCCUUCAAAAAAAUGUACACCGGUCUAUCGAGAUAUUAAUAGUCAGUCACUUCUGCUGACAGCAGCUACGUAAAGCAAAGAAUGCGUAGGCAUACACGGUACCGGGCGGGAAGGUGCCACGGCCCCUUGCAAUCCAUCCCCCAGGUUUGAGGGCGGUUCCAGAAUCCCGCAUCUCUACCUUUUGUGCGGGGGUUUUAUAGAGUUCAGGUUGAAAUUUCUGUAUUCCACCCUGUUUGUCUGAGGUAAGGAGCGCUCGGCCAAUAGAGCGGAGAGCAGGGAAACUGAGGCGAGGCCUGGGACCCUUCGUCUUUCCGGAGGUUGCCUCGUUAGCAUCGCACGUGAUUACUGACCUAUAUAUCUCAACUCCCUCAAGACUUCUCUCACAUGCUACUCAUGGUGUUUCAGACUGAACAGCUUCUGGGAUCAGAGUAUUGGGAAGGAGGAGAAACGUAGCGUAGCAGAAGAAGGGCGCGGAGUGUUCGGGACUCCCUAAAAAUCCUCACCUUAGACUCGAGCAGACACUUUGUACUUUAGCAGCGACAGAUUACGGUUCUGCAUCGAGGGGCCUCGUUUGUCCACUAAGUAUAAUCAUUCCAGUUAAAAUUGCCAGAUAUUUUUUCUGAGAGUAUGAGUUGGGGUGGAAUAGGUUUUUUGGGUUUUUUUUUUUUUUACCUUUUAGCCAGUAGCAUUUCAGCCUGGAUUUCCUUGGCUGAUCUCAGCAUAUCCAGUGUCCCAUUUGGGGCUCUUGUUGCUCGGCCCUGAAAUCGCUUGGAGUUUAUGAGAUGACUUUUCUUUAUACAGUUUCAGCUGUGCGUGAUGGACGUAGAGGGUGUUUUUAAUCAGUCACGCACGUUAUGGAGAACCAGGUAGUGUUCAGUCUUUUGACAGACAAGCCUACAGUUCUGUUAUGGUGAGGACAGUUUUGCAGGUUAAGACAACAUUCUAGGUAAGUAUCCAUUCCUUUACUUAUUACCAGGGAUCCUGCUUUUCUCAGAAGAAAAAACAAAUCACAAAAUCUCUGAAUAGCCCCCCAAAUCCACCUUUUUUCACGACCAAAAGGAAAUGCCACUAUAUAUAUAGGGAUUGGUUGAACACUGUUUUAUUGAUAUGUUUCCAAUGUUAAAUCCACUUGGAAUCUUACCAGUGCACAACCCCGUGGCCGUUCCUGUACUCGUCACUCUCCACCCAUGGCCCCCUAGCCUGCCAGUGCCCCUCAGUUGCCAAGCAUGGUCCCUUGGGCCCUGGCAGUGCCCCUCAGUUCCCACCCACAGCCACAUGCUGCACCCCCUCCCAGCUGCCAGGGUUACUGGAUCAGGGUCCUGGAUGUGUCAGGCGGCAGCUGCUGUGGCCUGAGUGGGGAGCGGAGCACAGCUCCCGCUUUCAUGGAUGGCACAGCCUGAGUAGAGCCUGUGCGGGGUGCAUGCAUGCUAUCUGCUGUGGGCUUGGGCACUUCACUCUGUUGCCCUUCCCCUGGGGUUUCUGGAGCCCAGUGGGCAGGACCCAGCAUGGAAGUAGAGAGCAGGGAUGGGCAGGGAAGAUUGGUGCCGCCCCUGCAAGUCCCACGCUAUCAUGGUGAGGCACCCUGUGCCCACCCAGCAGCAGCAAGGGGAAGAACUCUGUGCUGCCACCCCCAGUGCUCUCUGGCGGGCAGGGGGUAACUUGCUGCGGUACUGUAGGGGUCACGGUUGUGGCACUGAGCUUCUGUGCCCUAUAUUGCCCUCCUGUGCCAGCUCUCGCCCACUGGGCCACAGAGGCUUUGCAGAGAGGUCAGCAGGGUUGGAAGACCAAGCCUGCAAUGGGCAUCCUGCCCCCAGUGUGCAUAAAUUGGGGGCAUGUGCACCCCAUCUGCCUCAGGAGUGUGUGCAGUGCCAGGCAGUCAAGCCCCCCCUGCCCGCUCCUCACCUAGGCCCUGUAGCUGUGCUUGGCAGCACCAGGCCCCAUGCUUGGGCACAGCUGGGCAGCAGCCCCAGCCCUGCCCAAGUCCCUCACUCCUCAUUUAUGGGGGCCUCAAUUCGCCUCCUCCCGCCACACCUGACUUACAUGUGGGGACCCACUCUCCAGCCUGUGGGCAGGCAUGUACCUGUGUACAUGGUCACAUGCACAUAGCACCCCUUUGUGACCCCUCCUCCUGUUCCCCUGAGCACCUUGCAGGAUGGAAGUCUGGCAGCCUGCAAGGAGAAUCCCACCACUGGUCACGCUGUUACCCUUUAGAGGAGAAAAUCUGGGGGGCUGGGUGUCGGCAAAUAAAAACCUAGGUUUCCGGACUAGCCCAGGGAUUGACACGACACUCGGUUUGAGGAGCGACAGAAAGGCUUUAUUUACUACAAGUAUUUAAGAUCAAGUCGGGCGAAUCCAAACCAAAUCUAAGUCCAGUAAUUAGCCGUAAGGUGACGAUUUCUCGCCAAACAGGCGACAAAGAGGCGGUCUGUUUCUCUUCACCUUGUAGAGUAAGUUGGGCGUAUUGGCAAGCCGUGUCAGAGAGAUGUUUUUCACUCCUGAAACGUGUGUGUGCUGUGUGCCGUUUUACUUUUUAUCCCUUUACUUUAGCAUCUUCAAAGCAUUCUUUUAGUUGCGUAAAUCAAGACGGAGUCCCAAACAGUAACCGACAGGAAAAACCUGCCGAUUACCGGUUAUCGGACAUUUCUAAUGCGAACGAGUUAGCUUCUUCGGUGACGAGAGGUUAUUCAGUUUGGAACGUAUCGAGAAACCGAUUAACCGCUAGGAAAAACAUACUAAAUCAGGAGGAGGCAGCUAUUACAUAUGGAGAAUGUGUUUCGGCAUAUAAACGCGACUUAGUCGGAAAAGAGAUAUUUAUCGUGCUAAUUAAUUGAGGAUAGACGUUUCGUACGUUUACACGCCAGACAACUAAGAGUCUGUGUGAAAUCAUCCUGAAUGUAGCCCGAUAAGAUGGAAGAGACUUCAUAAUUCUUUCUUAGAUGGCCUGGCCAUGAAAUUGCGUUGUCUUGCAUUAUGCAGUUAGCAUUAUUAUUCAGUAUGUUAACUUUUGUGAGUAGGGCCAAGCUGUACAUGAUUUUCAGAGUCAUUACUGGGUCGGGGUCCUUAAGGUGACAAACUGGGUUUUACUGCAUUUUUCCUUGGUGAAUGCAAAACCCGGGUCCCUGCCAAUUACCCUUUUUGUACGUGAAGUGAAGACGCUAUGACACUUGCCAGUGAUGCUCUUGGCGUGUAAAGGAUUACAACCCUCCAACUUGGAUAAAGCAGCUAGAGACAGGGCUAGAACAUGCACUUUUAUUGAUCACACCUCGAGGCAUAAGAAUAUAAACCCUUUGUGCUAUGCCUACCUAGUGACUUGUCACACCACAAUACAGAUUGCCCAGUCUACCGGCUGGGGGAGAUGCAGGAGGGAGGAGGAGGCUGACAGGAGGUUGUCUCCACUUUUGCAAAGGUCUUUGUACUUUCCCUUUUGUUUAAACCUAAUUUUUACGUGGGCUUUUUAAAUCGAUAAUCCGACGGGCGUCACGUAGACUCGUUUUGCUGAAACUUUGGGACCGGGACCGAACCCAUUUUCCUGUGCCCCGCAGGACCUGCCCCACGGGGACCAGCCCAUGGCUGGGGCCCGUGUCCCUGGGAAAACUCCGAGUUUGGAAGGGAGGAACACUGCUCAUCUCUUUCCCGGCCUGCCUGGGAAUGCUCCUCCUUGCCUUGUGUUUGUUAGCCUCUGCCAUUUAGACCUAUUUUAACUUGUAACAGGGUCACAAAACCAAAUGCCAGUUGCUGCUCGUAGCUGCUGUUUCCCACCGUUCCAGAAAGCAGCUACUCGCUCUUGGUCUUGUCUGGUAUCAAAGUCUUGAGAAACAGAAUCUUAUUCCACUGUUUUUGGCCGUUCCUUGGGAUAUAAGUGUAGGCUCACGGCCUAUUGCUUGUAUGCCAGCUUAAGCACGUGUCAUUCUUAAGUUAGGCUUCUGGUAGGUGUGUAGUCUGCAAUACUGAGCGUGGUCUGUCAGGCCCUGACCAUAUUUUCAGUUUACACCGAGGGGAAUCUGCCCAUAGCCUUCCUUCCCCUUUCUCAUCACCAUCUUCGUAACAUCCCUGCCUCUUUACUUGUUGCUCAUUUCAGGAGCUGUUGUGUGCCAGUGCUUCUGUUCCCUGGUGCUUUCCCCGGGUACCCACCCUGUCUCCUGUACGUGGUGGAGGACCGGUUUAAGGAGUUGCACGGAGGGCCUCACAGAAGUCCUGUGUGGUCAUGGGUUUACAAUGAAGACUUGCAGCUGUGUGUUGCUAUUUCUGGGGUGUGCCGUGUGUGAGGCGCAGCUGUCAGAGGAACGCUUUGGAGAUGUCGCUCACGCAGGGAAGCAAAAUUGUUCUGCUUCCCACUACUGAGCUUUAAUGAUACCUGUGAGACAUCACAUCCCCUGUCCAAACCUGAGCCAUCUGAGCAGGGGAAGUGGCAUGGGAGGGGGGCCAAGAUACCUGGUUGACAGCCCAGACUGCAAGUUGAAGGCUGCAAUGGAAGCGCUCAGAGUGUGGCCUGUCAGAUUCCAACAAAAUCUGUCAAGUCUUACAUGUAGCUUAUCACAAGGACACGAAAAAGAAAAGGACGUGAGCAGGGGCCCAUGUUAGAGUCUUAGUGCAUUGGUCAGCGAUUGGGGGUGAGGGGGUGCAUGUCCCUCCUUCACUGCUUGUGUGUUGACUGUCAUUGUUAAAGGACCAGGGUUGGGGGCGGGGGCAUUCUUGGCUGCUUGGCCAAGUGCCUGGGGGAAGAGCUAGGAGGGAGGGAGAGGUUCAGCAACCCCGGACUGGCCAGGUCUCCCCCUGCCUCCCACAGGGCUGCGCUACCUGCUACUGGCAGUGACUCUGCCUGGAGCAGUUGGCAGGCCCUUGUAAGCAGCCUGCACUGCUUGGGAGAUGCGGGCUGUGACACCUUGGUUUUCUGGACUGCGGUGAGAAAGCAAACAGCCUUGUAGUACAGGCUUCAGUUGUGGGACUGCACCCUGUUGUUGAGACCCCCCCAGGGGCUUAUUUCUUGUAUGUCCAUGCAGGAUAGUUGGGGGGGCGGGGAAUGGAAGGAAGAGGCACGGAUGAGCCCUGCAUCUUUCAUUCAGCAAAUUUCCAUAAGUAAUGUUAGUACUACUAAUAUUAUCCCUGUUCUGAUUCUUACUAUUACUAUUAUUUGUUUUCCCAUAUACUUUGCCAACAAAGCACCUGGCAGGUCCAGUAAGAAAAGGAAGUUUCCAAACAGGUGACAGAAGGAAACCAAAUGAUUUAAGCAUGCAAGUGGUGGUGGCGGCGGUGUUGUUGGGAAGGUUCAGGAACCACGGGGGAGGCAAGAUUUUUGUUAUGUCUCGUGUGGCAACAACAGCACGGUUUGGACGGACAGAAGCAAGGUUUUAGGCAUCCCAGUCCCCUUUUUCAGUCCUGGUUCCUUCCCAGCAACCUGAGGAAAUGUACUGUCAUACCCCAAAGGUUGCCUGUAUCUAUGCCCAUCUUACAGUUGGUCUGGUAAAACAGGGGUCAAAAAACCUAUGGCCUGUGGUUUGGAUCCAGCCUGUGAAGAAACUGGUUCUAGCCUGUAGCAGUUCAACCAAGGAGCAGCACACUCCCAUGGUGACAGCAGCAGGGACAUCCCCAGCGGCCUGUUGCCACUGCGUUCAGUUUGUUCUUUGUGCUGCAGCAGAAGCAGCCUCCCCAGGGUCCCGGCCCCUGCCUUUUUCUUCUGAGUCCCUUCACAGCCUGUGGAGAUUGCUGGGGAGCAACCUGUCCCGUCGGCAAUGGUGCAUAACGGCAAAAGAACGGCCCUUCCCUGCAAGGAAAGAUUGCACCUAACUCCAAGCGAGCAGAGCAGAGCAGAGCAUGGACACAGAGCGAGAUGCUCAUCAGUAGGGUAGUCUGGCCUUGCCGUUGCUAGGAGUGCCCAAGUAGGGAGGUGUUGGAAUAAUUUCUCAGCUUUUUCCCUAGAUCGCUGUAAGAUGAGAGGGGAGCGCUAAGCACACUUGGGUUCGUGCACGCUCCCCAUCGUUUUCAGAAGCGGACGGCAGGAGAAAGUUUGCGGUCAGCGAUAGCAGCACAAGGCCAUGCAACCAGGCUGGGGAACGUGGGGCUCUUUCCUAAACCAGGAGUGGCAGGACUUGCACAGCUUUGCCAGGAUCCUGGCUGUUGUGGAGAGACUUUGGGUUGGAGAUGGAUGCAAAGAAGUGGAGGCGUGCCAUGGUGAUGGAGGAUAGAGCAGGAGGAGUAGCGUGAUGGAAGGUGGACUUACCUCAAGCGGGGGUGGUGUUUUGAGUGGGGGUGUCUGGGUGGGCUGGGAAGUCCCUGCUCUGGGUUGGUGUCCUGAGCUGCAUGCUCCCAGGGCAGGGCUACUCAAGCGGAGGGCCAUGGCACCCAGGAGUGCCUCUGAGAUGAGUGGUGUACGGCUGGGCUGGCUUGGCCCAGAGUUGCUCUGAGUCUGUGCAAAGAUCUCCAGGUUACGGUGGGACAGAGGAUUGGGUCUCUGCCUGGCUGUACCUGUUGCCACAUGCCUCCUUUCAGUGCUGGGAAUUGCAUUUAUGUCUCAUCUCUCUGGGUGUCACUGGUGUCUGUCUUUGUACUUCUGUUCUUAAAAAUCACUGCAGCACUUGUUACUUUGUUCUUCCCAGGACUGAAAGGAGGGUUGUGUUUGCAUUUAAAUUGAUCCCCUCACUUGGGAGGGGUGUAGCUGCAGCCCCCUGCGGUUUGUUAGUGGGGCCAGUCCAAGCUGCUGUUGUACCCCUGGUUGGGAGGGAGGGGGUGCUGUCCCGUUGGUGCUGUGAGACCUGCGCAUAGCGCUGCAAGUGUUAAUUGCUGUUCAUUUUUGGUGGUGUGGACAUGUUUGGCAAGGUGAUCAAAGUCUGGUCCUGAGUGGAGAAGAGCUGAGUAAGAGGUGAAGAUCCCUGGAGCUGGUAUGGUGUGGAAGGCGUUGGAGAUGGCCCGAAGCCAUGCUCAUGUGAUCACCUGGAGCGAGGUAUUUGCUUCUUGCGGGUUGCAGCUCUGGACGGACAGAUCCUGCAGCUGCAGGUGCCUGCAUCGUAUCUGGGAAAGGGAUGGCAAGCAUGAGGACUGACGGCGCACAAGGACUGAAAGUGCAGCUUGAUGCCAGGUGUGGGUCCUGGUGUUCCUGGAAGGAAAGGGUGAGGGCACAGGGACCGGAGCAGAGCAGCGGUAACGGAACCAGAGGAUCAGGAUGCUAGAAGGUGUUUCGUGUUUGGGAUGAGGAGCCACCUUGCCAAGGCUUCAGGCACUGAAGACGAGGUGAAGAGCCGCAGAGAUGGUGGAGGAGGAAACGGGCAGCUGUCUCGUGACUUCCCAGUUUGUGUGGUGUGAGGCCUCUGCCCCUGUGACGUCACCUGUGUGGAGCCUGCGGUCAUGCUGUGUGUACGGUGGUUUCUGUGAUACAUCACGUUUUGAGUGCCUGUGACUAUCCAGCUCCGGGAGGCCGCAGACAAGCCUUUGAGAGCUCGGGUAAAGCCUGUAUGCAUCUUGUGGGGGAAGAGGGACACAGGGAGUUCUGUGCCAUGCUGGUGGAAGAGGAAGGAAAACAAUGCUUAAAGAGGCGAGCCGAGGUAGAGGUAAAGCGACCUAGAGCCACAACGUUUUGGGAGGUGGAAGACACAGGGGACUGCGCUCCGAUGGUGACUUCUGGGUCACUUGGAAGGAAGGCCUCUGUCCUUUUGCUGGAGUUGUGUGCAUGAGCAGAGCGUGCAGAGGUGCCUGUGUACCCUGUGCAGAGAGGAAGGCAAUCGGGGACAAGGCUGGGCUGGAGAAGGAGCAGAAUUAUGCUAGUUUGGGAUCCUGCCCUGCGUGGAGGGAAAUGAAUGCCGGUUCAGGGAGUGGAGCCAAGCAGUGCCCAUGGAGGCGGAAGCAGGAGGAAUUGAAUGCCGUGAGGUGUGUUGGCGCUGCAUGGGCAGAUCCAGUAGUUGGGUCCUGGCGUGUGUGGAAGGAAAGGGUGAGGACACUGGAGCAGAGCAGUGGUAAUGGAGCCAGAGGAUCAGGAUGCUAGAAGGAGCCAUCUUCUGAAGGCUUGAGGGCUGUGAAGCAGACACUGUGAAGAUGAAGUGAAGAGUCCCAGAGAUGGUGCAUGAGGAAAUGGGCAGCCUUGUCAUGACUUCCUGACUUGCGUGAUGUGAGGCCUCUUCUCCUGUGGCAUGACCUGGCUGGACUCCUGGGGAGGUUUUGUGUGUGUAGCUUCGCAGGCGGUGCAUCUCUGCUCCCACUUCCUGCUGUGAGGACACCUGGAUAAGGAGCAGCAUGAUUGUGGCUGGCUGUGCGGCCUCAAUGUUGUGGGGGAGAGGAAUAGAAGUGAGUUUUCUACGGUGGUGGUAGAAGAUGGAGGAACUGGAUCCCGAAAGGUGGGCUGGGUUAAAGUGGGAGGCUGGGUUGCGUUUUCCCUGGUCAUAUUUGGGUGGGGGAGGAAACCCCUAGUGUGUGAUGGGGUCUGGAGCUCUGUGCUGUCUGGGGAGUGAUGCUGAAGCAGGGAACUGUGGCCCUUAGGGAUGCUGCAGAGCAGGGGGUCUAAGCCUGAUUUUGGUUUAGCUUGGGGUUGAGUCCUGACUGCUUGUAAAGGCUGGAAAUUGUCCUUGAGUAUAUUAGGGGUUUCAGUGUUUGCCCCUGGCUUCUGGGUGCAGAUGACGGCAUUGGAUGUGCCGGGGCAGAGGAGCGGGUGCGUGCGUGGCUGCCUCUGCCUGGCUGUUGCUGCUGCCACUGGUCUCCCUUCAGUUCUGGGAAGUGCACUCUGUCCUAUGUCUCUGGGUGUGUCACUGGUGUUUCUUUCUACUUUGAUAUCUAAAAUCACAGCAGCACUUCUUUCUUUGCUCUUCCCAGAGCUGGAAGGAUAGGUGUGUUUGCAUGUAAAUUGAUCCCCUCCUUUGGGUGGGCUUUGACUGCACCCUGUGUGCCUCAUAUGCGGGUGGGGGUGUUAUGCUUUUGGUGUCCUAGAUUGCGGGGGGCAUUGUGUCUGUGCUGUCAGUACUAUGAGAUGUGAAUACUGUUGUGUGUAGUAAUUGCUUGUUGUUUUGGGUGUGAUGUCAAUGUGUGGAGUGUGAGCAGAGAAGAGCUGAGGGGAAGAGGUGAAGAGACCUAGAGCCAGUGCUACGUAGAAGCAGGUGGUCAUGCAGCCAUGCUCACUUCUGGGUCACCUAGAGGGAGGCCUCUGCCCGUUUGGUGGAGCUGUGUGCAUGGGCAGAGCCUGCAGUGGGAGGUCCCUGCGUCCCCUGUGUGGAGAGGACGGCAAGGAGGGAUGAGAGUGCACUGGAGGAGGAGUGUGAUGCCAGGUCCCAUGAGUGCAGUCUCUUGGGGUGAGGCCCUUCUCACAGAUGGAUGGGUGCACCCUGGCCAGGCACGUCUUGGAGAGCUGUGAGCUGGGGCCUGGGGUCCUGACCUGUGCAGAGGGAAAUGACUGCCGGUUGAAGGAGUGAAGCUGAGCAGCGCCCACGGAGGAUGAAGCAGGAGGAACUCAAUGCUGCACGGUGUGUCGGUGCUGGAUGGGCAGGUCUGGCAUUUGGUACGAAAUGGCUCGGAGCAGUCUAGGGUUUUCGGAGCCUGGCAGUUAGUUUUUGUUUUGCUCUUUGUUGCUAGUUGUGCUGAGGUUUUUCCUUGGAAGCCUCAGCUGGUGCCAGUCUCCCGUAUGGGGUGGGGAUGGCAAGCAAGGAUGCAUGAGGGCUGGAGGAGAAGCGUGAUGCCAAGUGUGGCAAGUGCUGGCGGUCAGGGGUGAGGCCUUUCCCCUUGUGUCUGUACCCUGUGUGUGCCCUUAGUAGUGGGGAGAGGUGCUCCCUUGGCUGGACGUGUAGGGUGGGAAUGCCUCCACAAAGAUCAGGACCCUGGACCGGAGUUCAGCCCAAGGAGCAGAAGUAAACGCAGGAGAAGGAAGCCACUGAGGAGAAGGGAGAGGGCGAAGGACUGGAGCAGAGCAGUGGAGUCCUCUUGCCAAGGCUUCAGGACUGUGAAGCAGAGACUGGAAGAAGAGGUGAAGAGCCCCAGAGAUGGCGGAGGAGAAAACGCACAGCUGUCUCCUGACUUCCCAAUUUGUGUGGCGUCAGGCCCCUGGCCCUGUGGCAUCACGCGGUUGGAACCUGCGGUGUGUCUGAGCUUCCUCGGAGCGGUGCGAUGUCUUCGUUUCCCUGUCUGACCGUUUCUUUCACAGUUGUUCUAUCAUGUUUGCAGGAUGUACUGUGUGUAUGGUGGUUGCUGUGGUGCAUUGCUUUUUGAUGCGCUGUGACUAUCUGGCUCUGGGCGGCCACAGGCAAGCCUUUAAGAGCUCAGCUAGCGAGUAGUGGGUCUGGAUGUGUCUGCCGGGUGUUUGCAGAGGAGCUUUCCCUGUCUCUAGCUUUGUGCCGUUUCUUCUGCUCUCUGGGCUGGCUAGGUUUCUGUUCUUUUUCCAGCAUAGUCUAUCUUGAUGGGGUGAAGGAUACAGGGAGUACUGUGCCACAGUGUUGGAAGAUGAAGGAACAGAAUACUUAAAAGUGGGCUUGGUUAGGGAGGGGUGGUGGGGUGGUGGUGAGUGGUUUCUUCCCUGUGGUUUUUUGGGUGAGGGAGCAAACGCCUAGUGUCUGAUAGUGUCUGGCGCUUCUUGUUUCCAGCAGGGUUCUGGCCUCCUGGGGUGCCCCAGAGCUGGGUGGUGUAAGCCUGGGUUGGGUUUAGCCUGUGUGUGUGUCCUGGCUCUCUUUGUACAGGCUGACAAUAAUCUUUGAGUAUAUAGGUGGUUUCAGUGUUUGCCCCUGGCAUCUGGAUGGAGAUCUUGUCCCUGGGUGUGGUGGGGCAGAGGAGCGGGUGCCUGUCUCUCUGCCUCUGCCUGCCUGUUGCUGCUGCUGGCCUCCCUUCCGUUCUGGGAAGGGCACUUUGUUCUGUCUGUCUGGGUUUGUCACUGGUGUUUCUGUGUACUUGGAUUUUGAACAUCAGUGCAGCACUUGUUGUUCUUGCUUUCCUAUUCCCAGAGCUGGAAGGAGGGCUGUGUUGGCAAUUAAAUUGGUCCCCUCCUUUGGGAGGGGUCUGAAUGCACCCUAUGUUGCUUGUUUGGGGCAGUUGCUUGUGCUUUGUCCUUUUGUUUGGUAGUGAACUUUCCCCAUGUGCUGUCAGGAGGUUCCUGCAUCCUGUGAGAGGAGACGAAGCGAAGCAGGGACAAGUGAGGGCUGCAGAAGGAGCGGCAUAAUGCCAGGCACGGUGAGGGCUGUCCCGAGGCUAAAGCCUUUUCUGCGGCUGAAUGGGAGGCGUUGUAGCCGGGCGCCCCUCGGAGACCUUUGAGCCGGGGAGCGGGUGUGUGGUGUGGGAGUUGUACUGUGGGUUCCUUCUCCUUGGUUGUGGUCCUGGAGUGACUACCUGUUCUCUUCCUUCUAGGGUCCUGGCCCGUGUGCAGGGAAAUGUAUGCUGGUUCAGGGGGUGGAGUGGACUAGUGCCCAUGGAGGAUGAAGCAGUAGGAGUUGGCUGUUGCAUGGUGUGUUGGCAUUGAAUGGGCACAUCCUGCAGUUGGUAAAUGAUUGCUUGAAGCAGUGUGGGGUUGCCCAGGUCUGGCAGGUUUUUGUGCUUUGCCCUUUGUUGUUUUCUGUGCUCGUUGCGCCGAGGUUUUCCUUUGCGUCCUCGGCAGGCGCUUGCCUCCCGUGGGGAAGGGAUGGCAAGCGAGGCUGCGCAAGGGGUGACGGAGCACUGCGAUGCCACGUGUGGCGCGUGCCGGUUCUCUGGGCUGAGGCCUUCGCCCUGGUGUCUGCGUGCCCUCUGUGUGCCCUUUGCAGUGUGAUGAGGUGCUCUGUUGGCUUGCUGUGUGUUGUGGGACUUGCUCAGUGGUUUGCUCAUCCUGUGUUUAGUUCUGCUUGUUGGGCUGAUCACUUGUUGUCUGUUCUCUGUACGGUCCUGGUAUGUGUGGAGGAAAAGGAAGAGGGCUAAGGAGCGGAGCAGAACAGUGGUAAUGGAGGAAGAGAAGCAGGAUGCUGGGAGGUGGGGUGGGUUGGGGCGGGCGGUGUCUGGGUGUGGUGGGAAGGCCCUGGUCUGGCAUGGUGUCUAUGUUAGGUGAUCCCAGUCAGAGAUGCUGGAGCAGGGUGUUGCGGCAUUUGAGCUUCCUCUCAUCUCUUGCGGUGGCCUGCUGUGUCCAGGGGCCCCUCGUGCGGCUCUUCACGAGGCUUGAGAAUGCGUGCCUGUCCCUGCCAGCAGGUUUUUUGGCUCCUUGAGCUGUGUUUGCUACAACACUUGGGUGCCGGUGUCUGGCCCUCUCCAGGUUUUGGCGGGGCAGAAGUUUGGUGCGUCUUUGCCUACCUGGCUGUCUUGGCACAGGCUCUCCCACCGGUGCUGGGACUGGCUUGUCCUCUGUCCAUGUGCCUUUGUUUGUCUUGUUGUCUUGAAAGUUGUUGCAGCCUUUUUCUGUUGUUCCCAGAUCUGGCAGGAGACCUGUGUUUGCACACCUAAAUUGCUUCCCUUGCUAUCGAAGGGAAAGUCCUGAGGGGUCUGGCUGUCCUGUGACAGCUGUUGGCCGGGGGUUGGGGCGUAGGGGAUAAGUCGCGUGCGGCGUCUCGGCAGGGAGCGGCCGUUGUCCCCGGUGCCGCGAAGCCUCUGAGUUGUCGAUAGUGCCAAUUGCCUUUUCCUUACGUGUGUGGAGGAGCCAUCUUGUGAAGGUUGCAGGCCUAUGAAGCAGCCACUGGGAAGAUUUCAUAGACAUUCGGGCUGGAAGGGACCUUGGAAGAUCAUCGAGUCCAGCCCCCCGCCCAAAGGGCAGGAAGUCAGCUGGGGUCAUAGGAUCCCAGCAAGAUGAGCAUCCAGUUUGCUCUUAAAGGUGUUCAGUGUAGGCACUUGAACCGCCUCCGGCGGCAGGCUAUUCCAGACCUUGGGGGCUCGGACAGUAGAGAAAUUCUUCCUUAUGUCCAGCCCGAAACGGUCUUGUCGUAGUUUAUGACCAUUCGACCUAGUCGUCAUCCCUUGGGGCGCGCUCUGGUGAACAAACGUUCCCCCAGAUACUGGUGGUCACCCCCGAUAAACUUAUAGGUGGCCACCAGAUCACCCCUGAGCCUGCGCUUUUCCAGGCUAAAGAGCCCCAGGGCUCUCAGCCUGUCAUCAUAAGGUCUGCUUCCCUGAGCUCUGAUCAUGCGCGUGGCUCUUCUUUGGACUCUCUCAAGCUUCUCCACAUCCUUUUUGAAUUGUGGAGCCCAAAACUGGACGCAGUACUCCAGCUGCGGCCUCGCCAGGGCCAAGUAUAAGGGGAGAAUGACGUCCCAGGAUUUGCUUGAGAAGCAUCUGUGGAUGCAAGCCAGCGUUUUGGUUGCUUUAAUAGCCGCAGCAUCGCACUGCAGGCUCAUGUUCAUCUUGUGGUCAAUGAUGACCCCCAAGUCUCUUUCUUCCAUAGUGCUAGCCAACGUAGCACUGUUGAGCCUAUAAGGAUGCUGCAGGUUUUUCUUCUCAAGGUGGAGAACCUUGCAUUUAUCGGCGUUGAACACCAUCAGAUUCUCGUCCGCCCACUUGCUGAGCCUGUCCAGGUCAGCCUGGAUCGCCCGCCUGUCUUCUGGCGUGGAUGCUUUGCCCCAAAGUUUGGUGUCGUCGGCGAACUUGGCCGGCCCGCUUCUGACUCCAGUGUCCGCAUCGUUAAUGAAGAUGUUGAACAGUAUGGAUCCAAGGACAGAGCCUUGGGGGACCCCGCUGGUCACAGGACACCACGAUGAGUGACUUCCAUCAAUUACUACCCUCUGGGUCCGACCACGGAGCCAAUUUUCCAUCGAGUGGAUCCUGGAGGACCCAAGGUGACAAUUGGCCAGAGGCGAUCAUGGGAAACCAGAUCAAAGGCUUUUUUGAAGUCAAGAUAUGACAUCAAUCUCUUCUCCCUUGUCCAGGUGAUAGGUCACCCGGUCGUAGAAGGAAAUGAGAUUGGUCAAGCAAGACCUACCCGCAACAAACCCGUGCUGGCUAUCCCUUAAGACGUUGGCGUCGGCCAGUCCGUUAAGGAUGGCCUCUUUAAUUAACUUUUCUAAGAUCUUCCCCGGGAUAGAAGUCAGGCUGAUGCGCCUAUAGUUAGCCGGAUCCACUUUCCUCCCUUUCUUGAAGAUAGGCACCACAUUGGCCUUCUUCCAGUCUUCGGGCACGACACCAGAGCGCCAAGAGUUGUCAAAGAUCCGCGCUAGAGGCUGGGCUAUGAUGCUCGCCAGCUCCUCGAGUACCCUCGGGUGAAGAUUGUCAGGGCCGGCUGAGUCGAAGGUAUCCAGCUUUUCAAGAUGUUCCUUCAUGAAGUCAGCAUCAAUGGAGGGCAGGGGAUCACGCUCACCCGGUGAAGAGACCCACAGUGGGCAGCCCUGUUAUGAUUUCCCGAUUUGGCACGGUGCGAGGCCUCUACCUCUACUGUGUCACCUGGCUGGAGUGUGUGGUGGGUCUGAGCUCCCUUGGAGCAGCGCGAUGUAUUUGUCUUCCUGCUUUGUCACUUUUUCCACGCUUGUUCUUUCAGGUUUCCAGGAGGUUUUGUGCGUGUACCUGUGCAGGUGGUGUGUCCCCACUCUGUCUUCUGGCUGUGAGGAUGCCUGGAUAAGGAGCAGCGUGGUUGUGGCUGUGGUGAGCAGUGCCUGUUGGAGAUGAGGGCUCUCCUGUGGUGGCUGUGCCCUGUGUAAGCUAGGUGGGUUUUUGAUUGCCUGUGAAUAUCCAGUUCAGGCUGGGCAGAAGCAAGCGUUUGAGAGCUCAGGUAGUGGGUUGUGGUGCUGGAGGUUUGGAGAGGAGCUUACCUUGGCUCUGACUAGGUUGCCUUGUGUCCCCUGUUUGGGGUGAUGAGGGUUUUGUUUGAUUUCUAGUGGCUUUGAUCUUGUGGGGGAGAAGGAUGUGAGGGCAUGUUGUGCUGUAGUGAUGGAAGAUGGGGGAACAGGGUGCUGAAAAUUGGUUUGGUUUAGAGUAGCGGGGUGGAGUGGCUGGUUUGCUCUGGUGAUGUUUGGCUCGGGGGUGGGGGGGGUGCCAGUCUCUGCCUGUGUGUUGCUGCUGCCACUGGCCUCCCUUCAGUUCUGGGAGCUGUACUCUGUGUUGUCUCUCUGGGUGUGUCACUGGUGUUUCUUUCUGCUUUGAUGUUGAAAAUCACAGCAGCACUUUUUGUUCUUCCUUUGCUCUUCCCAGAGCUGGAAGGAUGGGAGUGUUUGCAUGUAAAUUGGUCCCCUCCUUUGGGAGGGGUUUGCUUGUACGCUCUGUGCCUUGUGUGGGGGUGGCGGCUGUGUGCUGCUUUUGGAGACUGGGGCGGGUGCAUCUCUCUCCUUAGUACUGAGAUGUGAAUACUGUUUCGUGUAGUACUUGCUUGUUGUUUGGGGGGUGAUGCAAAUAUCUGGACCCUGAGCGGGGAAGAGAUCAGGUAGAGGUGAAGUGACCUAGUGCCACCACCAUGCAGAAGGAGGUGGAAGAAGUUGGUGGCUGUGUCCCUGUCGUCAUUUCUGGUUCUCCUUGAGCGAGGCCUUUGCCUGUCAGGUGGAGCUGUGUGCGUGGACAGAGCCUGCAGCAGGUUUCUGAGGAUGAUGAUGUGCACCAGACUGUGGGAAGAGGGUGAAGCGUCCCAGAGGUGCUGGAGGAGGUGCAGUCAGUCCCUGGUUGCCUGGUUUGAGGCCUCUGGCUUUGUGGUGUCUCUUGGCUGGAUCCCUAUGCAUCUGUGGUCCCUGUGGUAGGUGGGCGAGUGCUUACUUGGAGCAGCGUGGGACUUCUCUCCAAUCUGCCAGUUGCCUCCAUGUUUUUGUUCUUGUGUUUUGGUGAAGAUUUUCUGUAUCUUGCAGGUUUCUUUUUUUCUCCAGCCCAGUCCUGGGUGUUGGGCAUUGACUAGGUAGGGUAGACGGCUGGAGAUCGAUCUGGAUGUUUCUGACUGGGUCCUGGUCCUUGGAGAGAAGUUUGAGCAGAGAAGGGUGGAAGAUGGAGGCAGAGAGGAUGGUGCAAGGUGUGUUUGUUCUGGAAGGGGGGUGGGGUGGGGUGACAAGUCCCUGGUGUACUGAGCUUCACGCUCCUGGGCCAGCGAUGCUCCGGCAGGAGGUUGUGGCACCAUGGGUGGCCCCUCUCUGUACCGGUGCAAGGCUGUGCUGGUGUACCUGGGAGUCCCGCAAUUGCCUCGGUGUAAAGAAUGGGAAUCGUUCCCCUCCAUUGUGGGCGAUUUCUGGUCCUUUGAGCAGGGUUUGCUUCUGGCAUGGGUGCAGAUCUUGACUCUGUCUAGGCUCUAGCAGGGCAGAGGAUUGGGUGUUUGCCUUGCUGAUGCCAUUACCACAGCUUCCUGCUUCAGUUCUGGGAAUUGUCUGGGGGUAUCACGGAUGGCUUGGAGUCAACAUCACUGCACUAUUUCUGUCUCUGUCUCUUUUGUCCUUUUCUUUGCUCUUCCCAGAAGUGAAGGGGGAGGCCUGUGUGCGCACAUGUAAAUGGCCUCCCUUAGUUGGGAGGGGAGAGCUGUGAGACAGGUCUUGCUGCAUCCUGUCAGCUUUGUGGGAGCUAAGUAGGGUGGUUUUGGGUGGAAGGGGCCCCUGCCGCCAGUGCUGUGAGGCCUGUGAGUUGUGCUGUUUUGUGGUAAUUGCUGCUUUAUCUGCAGCAGGGGGUCUUUUUACCAAGACUUUUGGGGCCGGGAGGAGAAGUGGAGAUUGGGCAGAAGAAGAGAAGACACCUUGAAGUCAUGAACCAUGGAGCUGCCUGUCAUUGGUGCUUGUGCUGUAGCUCUGUCGUGAGGAGCAGGGCAGGGGCAGUGACAUGCUGAGGGCUGGAGAAGGAGCACCACAAAGAUGGCUGUGAGGCCUUGGUCAGGCGUGAAGUAUGUGAGCCAGGAGAGUGGUACAGCACACACGCAGGAUGGAGGUAGAAAAGGGAUG